UAUAAAUGCAGGCACUUAGCUGAAGUCGAU
rnacentral:piRNA from 1 species